rnacentral:misc_RNA from 1 species
UACUUAUGGAUCUAGUUAUGGGACGGUGAGCAGGAAAGUCCGGAUAGGGAUCCUUAGUUAUGGACCUAGUUAUCUGGAUCAAUUACUAUGCAUUGAGUCAUCUCUGUUGGAUUGCUUACUUGUCAAAGCUGGCACUACCUGCGUUCUCUCUAUAAAAUACCUAUCUUCCACCUCAAAAAAAUUUCACCUUUUUGUAUUAUUUUUUAGGUAUACAUCUAUCUUAUGUAACAUUUUAGUAAUUUUUGUUUGGCAAGAGG